rnacentral:rRNA from 1 species
GACGAACGCUGGCGGCGCGCCUAACACAUGCAAGUCGAACGGAGUUAUUUCAGCAGAAGCUUUCGGGUGGACGCAGGGAUAACUUAGUGGCGAACGGGUGAGUAACACGUGAGGAACCUGCCCUGGAGUGGGGGACAACAGUUGGAAACGACUGCUAAUACCGCAUAAGCGCACAGCAUCGCAUGAUGCAGUGUGAAAAACUCCGGUGGUAUGAGAUGGACCCGCGUCUGAUUAGCUAGUUGGUGAGGUAAAGGCCCACCAAGGCGACGAUCAGUAGCCGACCUGAGAGGGUGAUCGGCCACAUUGGGACUGAGACACGGCCCAA